rnacentral:rRNA from 1 species
GACGAACGCUGGCGGCGUGCUUAACACAUGCAAGUCGAACGGUGAAGCGCCUUCCUUUUUGGUGGGUGUGGAUGAGUGGCGAACGGGUGAGUAACACGUGAGUAACCUGCCCCCUUCUUCUGGAUAACCGCAUGAAAGUGUGGCUAAUACGGGAUAUUCUGGGUCUGUCGCAUGAUGGGUCUGGGAAAGAUAUUGUUUCGGUGGGGGAUGGGCUCGCGGCCUAUCAGCUUGUUGGUGGGGUGGUGGCCUACCAAGGCGGUGACGGGUAGCCGGCCUGAGAGGGUGGACGGUCACACUGGGACGGAGACACGGCCCAGACUCCGACGGGAGGCAGCAGUGGGUAAUAUUGCACAAUGGGCGCAAGACUGAUGCAGCGACGCCGCGUGAGGGAUGGAGGCCUUCGGGUUGUGAACCUCUUUCGCCAGUGAAGCAGGCCUGCCUCGUUUGUGGGUGGGUUGACGGUAGCUGGAUAAGAAGCGCCGGCUAACUACGUG